CUGGACACCACCAACACAAUCCGGCAGGAAGCAGCAUUCACCGAGCUGUGCCGUUUGCGGAAGUUCUCGCCCAAGGCGGAGCAGAUCGUCUCCGCCA
rnacentral:SRP_RNA from 1 species